rnacentral:rRNA from 1 species
UACGAAGGGGGCUAGCGUUGCUCGGAAUCACUGGGCGUAAAGGGUGCGUAGGCGGGUUUUAAGUCAGGGGUGAAAUCCUGGAGCUCAACUCCAGAACUGCCUUUGAUACUGAAGAUCUUGAGUCCGGGAGAGGUGAGUGGAACUGCGAGUGUAGAGGUGAAAUUCGUAGAUAUUCGCAGGAACACCAGUGGCGAAGGCGGCUCACUGGCCCGAUACUGACGCUGAGGCACGAAAGCGUGGGGAGCAACAGG